UACGAAGGGGGCUAGCGUUGCUCGGAUUGACUGGGCGUAAAGGGCGCGUAGGCGGUUCGUACAGUCAGACGUGAAAUUCCUUGGCUCAACCUGGGGGCUGCGUUUGAUACGUGCGGACUUGAGUGCGGAAGAGGGUCGUGGAAUUCCCAGUGUAGAGGUGAAAUUCGUAGAUAUUGGGAAGAACACCGGUGGCGAAGGCGGCGACCUGGUCCAAUACUGACGCUGAGGCGCGAAAGCGUGGGGAGCAAACAGG
rnacentral:rRNA from 1 species